CCUACGGGUGGCAGCAGUGAGGAAUAUUGGUCAAUGGCCGUAAGGCUGAACCAGCCAAGUCGCGUGAAGGAAGAAGGAUCUAUGGUUUGUAAACUUCUUUUAUAUGGGAAUAAAAUGUUCCACGUGUGGGAUUUUGUAUGUACCAUAUGAAUAAGGAUCGGCUAACUCCGUGCCAGCAGCCGCGGUAAUACGGAGGAUCCGAGCGUUAUCCGGAUUUAUUGGGUUUAAAGGGAGCGUAGGUGGAUUGUUAAGUCAGUUGUGAAAGUUUGCGGCUCAACCGUAAAAUUGCAGUUGAAACUGGCAGUCUUGAGUACAGUAGAGGUGGGCGGAAUUCGUGGUGUAGCGGUGAAAUGCUUAGAUAUCUGGAGGAACAUCAGUGGCGAAGGCGACUAUCUGGCACAUAACUGACGCUGAGGAGCGAAAGCGUGGGUAGCAAACAGGAUUAGAUACCCUAGUAGUC
rnacentral:rRNA from 1 species